rnacentral:rRNA from 1 species
UACGGAGGGUGCGAGCGUUGUCCGGAAUCACUGGGCUUAAAGGGCGCGUAGGCGGCCCUUCAAGUCGGGGGUGAAAUCCCACAGCUUAACUGUGGAAGUGCCUUCGAUACUGAGGGGCUCGAGCGAGGUAGGGGCAGAGGGAACUUCUGGUGGAGCGGUGAAAUGCGUUGAUAUCAGAAGGAACGCCGGUGGCGAAAGCGCUCUGCUGGACCUCUUCUGACGCUGAGGCGCGAAAGCUAGGGGAGCAAACGGG